rnacentral:rRNA from 1 species
UACGUAGGGGGCAAGCGUUGUCCGGAUUUAUUGGGCGUAAAGAGCGUGUAGGCGGCUUUACAGGUCCGUUGUGAAAACUCGAGGCUCAACCUCGAGACGCCGGUGGAAACCGUAAAGCUAGAGUCCGGAAGAGGAGAGUGGAAUUCCUGGUGUAGCGGUGAAAUGCGCAGAUAUCAGGAAGAACACCCGUGGCGAAGGCGGUUCUCUGGGCAUUACCUGACGCUGAGGAGCGAAAGUGUGGGGAGCGAACAGG